GUGGGGAAUAUUGGGCAAUGGGCGCAAGCCUGACCCAGCAACGCCGCGUGAGGGAAGAAGGCUUUCGGGUUGUAAACCUCUGUCCUUGGUGACGAAAAAAAUGACGGUAGCCAAGGAGGAAGCCCCGGCUAACUACGUGCCAGCAGCCGCGGUAAUACGUAGGGGGCGAGCGUUGUCCGGAAUUACUGGGCGUAAAGGGUGCGUAGGUGGCCUUUUAAGUUGGAUGUGAAAUACCCGGGCUUAACUUGGGGGGUGCAUCCAAAACUGGGAGGCUAGAGUGCAGGAGAGGAAAGCGGAAUUCCUGGUGUAGCGGUGAAAUGCGUAGAUAUCAGGAAGAACACCGGUGGCGAAGGCGGCUUGCUGGACAGUAACUGACGUUGAGGCUCGAAAGCGUGGGGAGCAAACAGGAUUAGAAACCCUGGUAGUCC
rnacentral:rRNA from 1 species